AAAAAGCUGUGGAGGGAGCUGAAGGUUCGAGUUGCCAAAUGUCAGCCUCGAAACUUUAAUGACUUGGAGAAGAUCUGCAAAGAGGAGUGGGACAAAAUCCCUCCUGAGAUGUGUGCAAACCUGGUGGCCAACUACAAGAAACGUCUGACCUCCUGUGAUUGCCAACAAGGGUUUUGCCACCAAGUACUAAGUCAUGUUUUGCAGAGGGGUCAAAUACUUAUUUCCCUCAUUAAAAUGCAAAUCAAUUUAGAACAUUUUUGACAUGCGUUUUUCUGGAUUUUUUUGUUGUUAUUCUGUCUCUCACUGUUCAAAUAAACCUACCAUUAAUAUUAUAGACUGAUCAUUUAUUGGUCAGUGGGCAUACUUACAAAAUCAGCAGGGGAUCAAAUACUUUUUUCCCUCACUGUAAGUCCUUGACUCCUUACUCUUCUCCCUGUGCCCCUCCAGAACUGUGCCAGCUCCAGACCCUCCAGCUCAUUGACCAGCUCCCGGCCCGCCAUCUCCCCCACGCCCUCCCCCCAGGGCCCCCAAGGUCCCAGCCUGGACGAAGGGGGAGACAAGACCUGCUCCGGCCAGCUCAGCCCACUCCCCAACCCUACCUACCCCCACAUCCCAGGCCUUGUGGAGGAGAACGCCAACAGAGGUCAGCUGUCCAUUCCUUGUGUCCCAAAGAGCCUAAAGGAUUCCCACAGUCAUGCUACAGGUGUCUUGAUCCCCAGAAUGCAGGAGAGGAAGAGUGGAAGAGCAUUCCGGUGCGAGACGGUCAUGUCAUCCAACAUCUGAGAAACCUGGGGCUCAGUGAUACUUAUGCACACACACAAACUCAAGUACAUAUCGUAUACAUAUAUGCACGCUCGCACAGACACAAACACUUAUAAUUGAGAGACCUACGUCCCGUUUCCUUGCAGUUGCCUAAUAGGAAUGGAGAUUUUUUGAUAUGUUUUAUUGCGUCACUACAGUUGGAUUCAGAUGUUUUAUUGCAAAUUAAAAAGCUGAAAGAGUUACCUCUACCUUUUCUGUGAAUGAGCAGUGUUUGCUUUUUGGAUUUGGGUGUGGCACUCUAGUGAGUAACAUGUCCUGGAGCCUGCAAGGCUUCAGUGAAUGGGUGUUGGCCAGGCAGAUAGUAUGACAGACAGGAAAGGAUCAUCCCGGGGUCACCACAACAAUUAUCACGUAGUGUCCACAAGGUAGAGAGGGUCACAGUGCCUUCAGAAAGUAUUCACACCUCUUGACUUUUUCAAGAUGAUGUUGUGUUACAGCCUGAAUUUAAAAUGGAUUAAAUUGAGAUCGUUUUUUGUCAUUGGCCUACACACAAUACCCCAUAAUGUCAAAUUGGAAUUAUGUUUUUAUUUGAUUUAUGUACAAAUUAAUAAACAAUGAAAAGCUGAAAUAUCUUCAGUUGGUAAGAAUUAAACUUUGUCAUGACAAGCUUAAAUAAAUUGAGGAGUGAAAAUUUGCUUAACCAGUCACAUAAUAAAUUGCAUGGACUAUUGUAUGCAAUAAUAGUGUUUAGCAUAAUUUUUAACAACUAACUUGACAGAGCUUGAAGAGUUUUAAAAAUAAUCAUGUGAAAAUAUUGAACAAUCCAGGUGUGCAAAGUUCUUAGACUUACCCAGAAAGACUCACAGCUGUAAUCACUGCCAAGGGUGAUUCUAACAUGUUGACUCAGGGUGUUGAAUACUUAUCUAAUCAAGAUAUAUUACCUUGCAAAGUACAAACAAUAUAAAAAAUGUCAAUUAAAUCCAUUUUAAUCCCACUUUGUAACACAACAAAAUGUGGAAAAGUAAAGGGGUGUGAAUAGUUUCUGAAAGUACUGUAGCAUUAUAUUCUCUCUCUUUCUGACACACACAGUUCUCUCUUUCUCACACACAUACACAUACCCUUUACAGCCCCUCUCCUCUCUCUCUCUCUCUCUCUGGCACAUACACAGACAACAACAACAUCCCUCCCCCCGUCUCUCUUAUGUACACACUAACACACACUAGUGAUAUGUCCACUGAGGUGACAUUUCCGGGCGGGGGGGGACAGAGGAUGACACCCGUGUCCACCCCUGCUUGAGAGGAAGUGGAUAUCAGAACACAACAGGAAAGACCGAAAAGAAAAACAAGCUGACAUCUUUUUGGACAUUAAAUCACUUCCUUUAGGGCCCUGCGACUGACCCCUUAAGCAGGUUUACCACCGAGCAUCCUCUUGCUGGGCUGGGGAUCGAUGUGUGUGCUGUCUUACUCUUUCUUUUUUGAGGGGGGGGGGGGUAGAUCAGCUUCAAUAUUGCAAAUAG
ensembl:lncRNA